UACGAAGGGGGCUAGCGUUGUUCGGAAUUACUGGGCGUAAAGCGCACGUAGGCGGAUUUGCCAGUCAGGGGUGAAAUCCCGGGGCUCAACCUCGGAACUGCCUCUGAUACAGCAAGUCUUGAGUCCGGAAGAGGUGGGUGGAACUGCGAGUGUAGAGGUGAAAUUCGUAGAUAUUCGCAAGAACACCAGUGGCGAAGGCGGCUCACUGGCCCGGUACUGACGCUGAGGUGCGAAAGCGUGGGGAGCAAACAGG
rnacentral:rRNA from 1 species